rnacentral:lncRNA from 1 species
GCGGUCGCAGUAAGAGUGGAGAUAUUGGCAACCUUAGAAGGGGAUGCAUGAUUGGAUGACCGGACGAGCAUUUCCAGCUGCGUUAGAUCAUCAGCCGUCGCAUGAGGUGGGAGGGAGGCAUACUGGAGCGUGUCCAUGUGAUUGGUAGACAACCAGCGUGUCCCUGUGGUGUGGUGCCGAAGUGGUGAGGGACAUGGAGCGAGCGGGUCAUUCUUGUUCCUGUAGUUUUGUGUGCUCAUGGUGGUUUACUGGUGGGAGAGCGCGGCACAGAUGCUGCAGUGGUGGAGAUAUGCAGAUGAUGGAGGGGAUCUGCAGCGUCACAAUGUGGCUGCAAUGAUACAGGGUGAAUCAUGAGGAAAUAUAUGGAGCAGAACGACAACGGCGUAACAAAGCAAGGCUGUGCUCAGUCUGGCAUCGCGACCGUUUCGACCCAAGAGUUCUGGUACUCCGCUCGGCCAAACCGGGACACGGGACGUACGCAGCGAACGCGAGUGGCAGAGGAUGCAAGAAUGCUGGCUCUAGUUUCCUGCUGCAAUGUUCUUCAAGCGGGCGUUCGCGGCGCGUUUAGUGACGUGUGUCGGGGAGGACAUGGGCGUGAGGGUAUGCGGGGCAGCUCGCGGGCAUCAUGGGCUCAGCAAUGCGCUCGGCUCCCAGAGUAUAUAGCAUAUUCUUUUACGCAUUGUGAAGUAAUUGGUUGCUCUCCUGUCGAUAGCUGGAAGAU